rnacentral:rRNA from 1 species
UACGGGGGGAGCAAGCGUUGUUCGGAUUUACUGGGCGUAAAGGGCGCGUAGGCGGUCGUGACAAGUCACUUGUGAAAUCUCCGGGCUUAACUCGGAACGGUCAAGUGAUACUGUCGGACUAGAGUACAGAAGGGGCAACUGGAAUUCUCGGUGUAGCGGUGAAAUGCGUAGAUAUCGAGAGGAACACCUGCGGCGAAGGCGGGUUGCUGGGCUGAUACUGACGCUGAGGCGCGAAAGCCAGGGGAGGCGAACGGGG